rnacentral:rRNA from 1 species
AAGGCCUUCGGGUCGUAAAACUCUGUCCUCAAGGAAGAUAAUGACGGUACUUGAGGAGGAAGCCCCGGCUAACUACGUGCCAGCAGCCGCGGUAAUACGUAGGGGGCUAGCGUUAUCCGGAUUUACUGGGCGUAACGGGUGCGUAGGCGGUCUUUCAAGUCAGGAGUGAAAGGCUACGGCUCAACCGUAGUAAGCUCUUGAAACUGGGAGACUUGAGUGCAGGAGAGGAGAGUGGAAUUCCUAGUGUAGCGGUGAAAUGCGUAGAUAUUAGG